rnacentral:lncRNA from 1 species
UGCACACAUGCAUACUCAUGCGUAUGUUUCCUUUUUGAACCUUUACAGACACGGUAAAAAAAGUUAAAGACGAAAACGAAUUGGUUAAAAAAAACGAAAAGUUAAUGAAAGAAAUAGAAAUCUUACAAGAGAAAUAUAGGAACGUAGAUUUAUUUUUUAAAAAUAAAUAUGAGCUUUUAUUAAACGACAUCGAGAAAUAUAAAAAAAUUAUCCAAGAAAAUAAGUCUAAAACAAAUUCGAAUGAGGAAGAUAAACUACGAACAAAGCUGCAAUGUAUUGAAAAAGAAAAGAUCGAAUUAUUAAACGAAAAUAAAAAAAUAAAUAAUUUAUACAUUGAAGAAAAAAAGAAUAAGACAGAGUUACAAACUAAAUUGGAAGCUUUAAAUUUAAAACUAGAUAAAGUUAAUAAAUCUUUACAGGUAAUUAAUUACUAGUGGAAAUUCACAGUUUAUUUAUUUAUUCACUUGCUUGCCCGUUUUUUCUUUUGUUUUUUUUUUUUCUUUUUUUUGCAAACUUAUGUGUGAAAACACACACUUCACGUACCUCAUUUUUAUCCAUUUAUAGAAUGAAAAACUAGAAGAGAAAAACUACUGUCAACCGUUAAAAGAGUUGGAAGA